rnacentral:tRNA from 1 species
GCAGGCAUGGCUCAGUGGUUAAGAGCACUGGCUAUUCUUCCAGAGGUCCUGAGUUCAAUUCCCAGCACCCACA